GAGUUUGAUCCUGGCUCAGAUUGAACGCUGGCGGCAGGCCUAACACAUGCAAGUCGAGCGGUAGAGAGAAGCUUGCUUCUCUUGAGAGCGGCGGACGGGUGAGUAAUGCCUAGGAAUCUGCCUGGUAGUGGGGGAUAACGCUCGGAAACGGACGCUAAUACCGCAUACGUCCUACGGGAGAAAGCAGGGGACCUUCGGGCCUUGCGCUAUCAGAUGAGCCUAGGUCGGAUUAGCUAGUUGGUGAGGUAAUGGCUCACCAAGGCGACGAUCCGUAACCGGUCUGAGAGGAUGAUCAGUCACACUGGAACUGAGACACGGUCCAGACUCCUACGGGAGGCAGCAGUGGGGAAUAGUUGGACAAUGGGCGAAAGCCUGAU
rnacentral:rRNA from 1 species